rnacentral:lncRNA from 1 species
GUCAGAAUGAACCCAGAGAGAAGACAGCAGCCCAGUGCAAGCAUGGAGUCAAUCAUCACAGGUUGGCCUCCAACUCUAUGCAGAUGAGAUGACCUUGAACUUCUGACCUUCCCACCUUCACCUCCCAAAUGCUAGGACUACAGUCCACAUUGACUCAAGUCCUCCAGUACCUGUCUCAACCUUGAAGCAGCUACCCAUCCUCCUCUCCAGGCACCCAAUUCCUGCAAGCCUGAGGAAAUACACACGCCGGCCCUGCGGCUAGAACCAGGAAACCCCAGCCCUUCUAGCUCUUACUGGUCUCAGGACAGCUGUCAUGGGACUAUCUGUCUCUGACAUGGUUAUCGGGAGAUAACCUCAACAGUUAAUCCUCAGUGCUUCCAUUUCCCUCCCUGGAGGGGAGCUGUCUGUCCUCUGCAUUAUUUGCUCAUGCUCAGACCUUCAGUGUUUCCAGCAAUGAGGGAUUCCAGCUGAAGGCCGGCCUUUCAAUUUUUUUGUUAUUGGGGCUGGAAGUAUCUCAGCGGUGAAGAAUAUUUGCUAGUCUUGCAGAGGACCUGGGUUCAAUUUCCAGCACCAACAUGGUGG